CUCCUGGCGCCUGCGCACCUCGACGUCAUUUCCGCGCCGUCCGUUUGGCCGGACCACCGCCCAAUCCUAAAACGCAGAGCAUGGCCCCACCCUCGACUGAGGGGAGCGACGCAAGCGCAGACGUGUAGUGAUCACGCGCGCAGGUUGAAGCUGCUGCCCCAAAUUUCCUGUAUUCCUCCGCGCGUUCCACACUUUACCUUCUUCUUAGGCGUGUCCUGUGGCACAGCAGCGAGGAGGAUAUUCCUUUCUGUCAUGUGUUCGUGGCUGCUAACAAAACAGACUUUAGGAACUUUAUGAGUUUCAUUACAUGUGAGCGCUGUCUAUUGUGUCAUUCAGAAAGUAUUGUGCACCCAGAGAUGAAAACACAUCAUCCACCUUUAGGGAGUUCACAGUCUAGCGACAGACACAAACCAUACAGGAACGAAGUUUGAACGGGAAACUGGAGGCAGAUGGGAUGGCAGGAUGGCACAGGGUGAACCUGCUGGGUGAGAACCUUAAAUUGAAUCUUGGGAGAAAAGAUAAUGAGAAAUAGUGGUAUGCUAGGCAAACCGAGCAGCAGGUGCAAAUGCGUGGGUUGGAGGACAGUUAAUAAAGUUUAUUUAGCAUAUGAUGUACCAGUCAAGAUGUAAGCUGUGUGUGUGUGUGUGUGUGUGUGUGUGUAGGCUCAUUUCAUUCUCAUGUGAUAUUAACACAGUGUAAUCACUUUGAAAGCACGGAUGGACUGGGGCCCAGAGGGCUUAGAGCCGGCCUCACUCUAAUGGUGAACUUGACCACAGCAAAUCUGGGAGUCUAGAACCCAUGCCACACACAGGCUGAAAAUCUGGAUUGUUCCAACCACAGCCUGGAAGCAGGAAUCACUCCUGGCUGUUGGUAGCACCAGAGCCCUAACUGAGAAACCCUGGCCUGCCCAUGUAGUGCAGGACUGGCUAUAAAAGAGAAUCCUGAGCUUUGCAUAAACAGAGACACUGGCCACCAUAAUCCACAGUGCAGGUGCUCAGGGGAAGCAGAGGUACCUGGAAGCCGUGACCUCCUCGAUGAGCCUCCCACGCUUGCAGCAUGGACUGCCACCAGCCACCUAGCACUGCCCUCACUGGGAAGCCCAGAAACAAGCAGGCCCCUGCCAUCCAUGUAGGAGAACCGGAUGGAGUUCCAGGCCCCACCCCAUCCCCACAUUGUGGCCAUUUGGGGAGUGAACCAGCGGAUGGAAGAGAAUUCUCUCUCUAGCUCCAUCUCUCCCACUCUCUCUGUAACUCUGCCUU